rnacentral:lncRNA from 1 species
AUACGUGGAAACGUUGAACAACGAAACUUUCAAAAGUAUAAACCACGUGUAACAUGUGAGAAGGCAACUGACGAUCAAAACAAAAAAAGUCCCCAUAAAACCGUAAGACCAUUAAACCGUGCCCGGUUUUAAAAUAUGAGUAAAGUUGGCUGUGGUGACUAAUUCCGAUUAAUUUGUUUAUUUCUCUGUCCUUCUACUUCCUCUCUACCUACAUGCUGAGUGUCGAGACCGAUUAUUGUUUAUUGCUUGUCCGUUUCAUUUGCUCUCACUCUAAGAAAAAAAAUUACAAAAAAAUCCUCUAGCAGUAUUCCCCCGCACGCACUAAAUGAUAUCAGUCAUUAUGUGAUAGAUCACCCAUUUCUAAUGGGCAACUAAGCUCAGAAACACUAUGAUCAACUCCCGUUAUGACAAAAUAUUGUUGCAAUGGAUAGAAAAUAGAAAAAAAAUUGAACAUCAUAAAAAAGCUCACCACCUCGAAACACCACUCUUAAUGAGUGGCGAUCUCGGUUCAUUUGAUUUUCGAGGUUAUUUUUAUUUUUUUUUUAUUUUUUUUUCUUAUACAAUUGUUCGCCUUAAUUUUUUAUCGCUUACCGCAGUAUAUAACUGGGCUGCAUCAAGUAUUCAGUUACAGUUGUGUCGUAGCUCUAAAACUCUUUACAUCUUUUCAAAAAUCAACAAAUCCCAAAACAUCAACAUGAACUUCCAACCAAUCCUCGCUCUUUUCUUCGCCCUCAUUGCCGUCGCUUUCGCCGCCCCGCAAUACGGCCACGAAUCAUCCGGCUACAAAUCCUCCGGACACGGCUACGAAAGCAAGUCCUACGAACCCGCUACCUCCUACCAGAACGUUAACCUCUACCCCCAACACGGCCAUGGCUACGAGCAUAAGGAAUCCAGCCAGAAAUACUGAAGACUGCCGCCCCUUCGCCGAACCCACCUCACUCAAUUCAUCGCGAUUAAUUUAUUUCACGCCUCAUCCGAAACGCAAUCAUCUUUAAUUUCCUAUCGUCAUAAUGAACAAAAAUAAAAUUUAAUAUAAAAAAGAUAAUAUCAAUAAAAACUGCAAAAUUCAAAAUUAAUACUGGACUUUGAUUAUUUCACCCACCCUGCAGAUCUUCUUAACAUUCGCUCUCUACACUGAAAACAAAUUCUCGGCGUUUUUACCAAGGUCCGUUGGUAACUUUACCAUCUCACUUUUUUACCAAUUAUUGGUAAUGUUAACAAGACAGACUGGUAAGCUUACCUAAAAACCGGUAUUUAUACUGAUUUUUUCAGGUAAGAAUACCACUUUUAUUGGUAAUCAAUUCCCGGUAACUUUACCAUUUUAUCUCGGUAAUUCUACCACAAGCGAUAAAAAAUAUUGGCGUUUUUACCAAGGUCCAGUAAAAUUAUCGAGAAAGUUCAAUAAUUUUACCGAGAUUUCCCGGUAAAAUUACCAAUUCCAUAAAUGGUAAUUUUACCAAGAAAAAACUGGGAUCAAAUAGAACCCUGAAUUCUCGGUAAUUUUGCUCUUUUCUUGGUUAUUACACCGAGAUUUUUUUUUCAGUGUAAUGCGACAGUCAUUUAUUGAAGAAUGUCACUAAUACUGCCGUACUAAGGGAGAACGCC